rnacentral:lncRNA from 1 species
CUUCACUCCUGCUGACAGCGUCAGUUGACCUGAGAAUAAACAGUCUCGUUGGGCCGAGGUGUCGCUGUACAGAGAGAUAAAUAUAAAUAUGUGCAGUAUAAAUAACUAAACAUACAUCACAUCAGUGAAUUAAGGUCAGACUGUGUUUCAGCAGCUAACGAUUCAGAUAACAGCUCGUUGUUUACCGUGUUGCGACGCUGGAAUGCUCUGGAUGACGGAGUACGUGAGCUCUUGGUUUGAUCCAACUGGAAAUUAAAAAACAUUAAUUCAACACACAUUUAUGUAAAUUAACUUUUUCGUUGGCCACAUCCAGUUGAUUUCUGCCAUCUGAUACCAACUACUUCAUGUUUCAGGAGUGUUUUUAAAAUCAAAACUACAUAAUUGACUUUCUGGCCACACAGUAUUUAAAUUCAGGGAUAUUUUUUUUCUUCUCAUUUCUCACCCUGUGCUGAUUCAAACACAGGGAUAUCUGAUGUCUCAGCAUAGACGACCUCGUCCGUUUGUUCUCCUCUUCCUUCUGAACAAAAACAUGAAUGUGACAAGAUUAUUAAUUCAGUGCACAGUGAUCGAAAGCUGAUCACAGAAUUAGUGUCAAAUAACAACUAAAACAUGGCGAUAUGCAGUCGUUUCAACCAGAGAUGUUAUUUCUACAACCACUGUGAUUAAAUCUACUAGAUGCUGCAGUUCUGUGACGUCCAUCGCUCACCUCGUCUUUUGAUGCUGCAUCUCCAAGUGACGAAGACGAUGAUGACCAUGAGGAGGAGGAGGAGGAGGAGGGGGACGAGCACUGCACGGACCAACACAGCAGCUGGAAGGUAAAUUAAAUAAAUAAGUAAUUAGAGACAGACAUGAUGCUGAACUGUGUUAAACUACAUUUCCCAUGAUGCAAUCCCCAAACAAGCACGUAAUGUAAUUGAGUGUAAGUAUUGAUGUUCAGACUGAAUGCUAGUUUUUAGCGUGUGUAGAUUAAAUGUGAAGACGCUAAUUGAUGCAAAUUUAAGUCCAUUCCAGCCAUGAAUGACACAAAGACGC